AACGUACGCUGGCGGCACGCCUAACACAUGCAAGUCGAACGAAGUAGCAAUACUUAGUGGCAGACGGGUGAGUAACAUGUAGGUAUCUGCCCUUUGGCCUGGAAUAACACGAGGAAACUUGUGCUAAUACCGGAUAAGUCUUUACGGAGAAAGCUUUAUGCACCAUUGGAUGAGCCUGCACUUGAUUAGUUUGUUGGUGGGGUAAUGGCCUACCAAGACUGUGAUCAAUAGCUGAUUUGAGAGGAUGAUCAGCCACAUUGGGACUGAGACACGGCCCAAACUCCUACGGGAGGCAGCAGUGGGGAAUCUUGCACAAUGGAGGAAACUCUGAUGCAGCGAUGCCGCGUGAGUGAAGAAGGCCCUUGGGUUGUAAAGCUCUUUCGUCGGGGAAGAAAAUGACUGUACCCGAAUAAGAAGGUCCGGCUAACUUCGUGCCAGCAGCCGCGGUAAUACGAAGGGACCUAGCGUAGUUCGGAAUUACUGGGCUUAAAGAGUUCGUAGGUGGUUGAAAAAGUUAGUGGUGAAAUCCCAGAGCUUAACUCUGGAACUGCCAUUAAAACUUUUCAGCUAGAGUAUGAUAGAGGAAAGCAGAAUUUCUAGUGUAGAGGUGAAAUUCGUAGAUAUUAGAAAGAAUACCAAUUGCGAAGGCAGCUUUCUGGAUCAUUACUGACACUGAGGAACGAAAGCAUGGGUAGCGAAGAGGAUUAGAUACCCUCGUAGUCCAUGCCGUAAACGAUGUGUGUUAGACGUUGGAAAUUUAUUUUCAGUGUCGCAGGGAAACCGAUAAACACACCGCCUGGGGAGUACGACCGCAAGGUUAAAACUCAAAUGAAUUGACGGGGACCCGCACAAGUAGUGGAGCAUGUGGUUUAAUUCGAAGAUACGCGCAGAACCUUACCAACACUUGACAUGUUCGUCGCGACUCUAAGAGAUUAGAGUUUUCGGUUCGGCCGGACGAAACACAGGUGCUGCAUGGCUGUCGUCAGCUCGUGUCGUGAGAUGUUGGGUUAAGUCCCGCAACGAGCGCAACCCUCACUUUUAGUUGCCAUCAAUUAAGUUGGGCACUCUGAAAGAACUGCCAGUGAUAAGCUGGAGGAAGGUGGGGAUGACGUCAAGUCCUCAUGGCCCUUACGUGUUGGGCUACACACGUGCUACAAUGGUAUCUACAACAGGAAGCAAGACUGCGAAGUUAAGCAAAUCCCUAAAAGAUACCUCAGUUCGGAUUGCACUCUGCAACUCGAGUGCAUGAAGCUGGAAUUACUAGUAAUCGUGGAUCAGCGUGCCACGGUGAAUGCGUUCCCGGGUCU
rnacentral:rRNA from 1 species